ensembl:lncRNA
UGUAUGUAAACUUCUGACUUCAACUGUAUGUUAGGCUUUGGUUGACAUUUGAGAAAGCAAGAAAUGGUAGUUAUGCUGAGCUCAUAAAAAUGUACCUCUUCAAUUUCUCUCUCCAAAUGACUUUAGGACCGUCAACUGUCCGAGCCACCCAAGAGGAUCAGUCUGAUUCUCUGUGCUCUGAGUCGGAAAGACACCAGCUUGAGGUGGCUUGCAUUGGACUGGAGGAACAGGAGCAGGUGCAGCAUCCAGAAGUAGGAGGCCUACUUGGGAGGCAUCGCCAUGCUGUCAGCAGUACCAACACUGGCCCAGGAGUUUGUCCAGAUAGUCAACCUCAAGGAAAACCACUGGGUCACGGUAAAUAACCUUCGCUGCCAGGUAGGUACUGUUAAGGUGUAUGACUCCAGUGGUCGUGACACCACCCAAUAGUUUCUCUCACAACUCACCUCUCUCUUAUCUUUUCCAGGGACCUCUCUGACUGUGGAGUGGCCAGCAGUCCAGCAGCAGAAAGGGGGCACAGAUUGUGGGCUGUUUGCUAUUGCAAACAGUCUUACUCUCUGCAGAGAUGAGGAACCCUCCAUGGCACGAUACCAUCAGAAAUCCAUUUCCCAGUGCCGAUUCCAGUCCCCGUCCUGGGUCCAGGCCUCCCAAGGUCAGCGACCACUGCUUCUGUCGGAAAUACGUGAGAGAAGGUAAGGAGGUGGCCCGAUGCAGGAGAUGCGGAAAGCAUUUUCAUGUGUGUUGCUUGUCUCAUGUCGUCAAUGUGCGUGAAUUUGUCUGUCCAUCGUCCAUCAUGUUUUGGCUGAUGUUUUCCCCACACUUGUUUUCACUAAUUGGCCGGCUCCCCACCUCAAGACGAUAGGUAUUUUACUACAUUGCAUCUUGUUGUGUAUUGUAUGUUAUUGUAAAUAACCUGUUGUAAUAUUGUUUAAAAUGUGUAUAAAGAUGCGUUUUCUUGCAGACAUUGGCUGUGAAGUUGGUAAGUUGCUUGGUAAGUAUAUAGCAUAUGUAAUCUGUCUUGUAUUCAAAGUAAUGUUUACAAGCAUGUAAAUGUUUGUAUAUUUUUUCCAUUUGUUUGCUGGUAAAUAUUUGAAACUUGCUCAAAUUGGCUGUAACUGUAUACAUUUGCAUAUUAAAUGCAUUCAUUGCAAGUAACAUUUUCAAUUGACUGAAAUUGACAGUUCAAUUGCCCAGUUAUUUACUUAUCCUUAACUCCUUCUCCCUAACCAUUAAUAUUUUGUGUCCAAUUCCAAAUCAAAUUUGAGGCCAGAGUUGGUAUGGAAUUGGACAUUGGUUUCUAGUUAGUGUUUGCAUAUAUGGAGGUUCUAGAUUUGUGUACGUAAUAUGGCAGAAGUCUCCCAGAGUCCAUUACACAGCAGGGUUGAGUCAUCACCAUAUUGCUACACCUAUCCAAGCCCCAUCAGGUCAAGCACUACAAAGAUAGAGUAGGGGGUUAAAGGCCUUAAUUAAAAUCAAAAUACUGCUCUCGGCCUUGACGUGGUGAGAGGGCUUCCAACUCAACCAGGCCCAUGUUAUUGAAACCAUGACUGAAACUGUCUGCCUGUCGAGGACAAGUGACAGGAAGAACUCAUCUCUUGAUUCCGCCUCUUUCCUCUCUCCUCAUCCUUUAACUCUUUCUCUCCUCUCCCUCCAGACGAAAAUUCUGCAUCUAGUGACUUCUGAUUGCCCAACAAUCUGCCCACUCAUCCCAUCCCCUCCUCCAUCUCAUUACAUCAUUUUUAUUUAACCUAUAUUUAACUAUCAUCUAAAGCUACUGUUAUUGUCAUUAUUUGCGAAUACAUUUUGCUAUGCACGCUCACAGUGCCCUACAGACCUACGUACACCGACACUCACUCCAUCAUUUGCUCACACACACACACACACACACAGUAAUAUGCACAUACAGUGCAUUCAGAAAGUAUUCAGACCCCUUUACUUUCUACAAGUUACAGCCUUAUUCUAAAAUUAAAAUUAAAAAAAAAGGUCUUCAUUGAUCUAAACACAAUACUCAAUAAUGGCAAAGUGAAAACAGGUUUUUAGAAUUUUUU